rnacentral:rRNA from 1 species
CCAGACUCCUACGGGAGGCAGCAGUGGGGAAUAUUGCACAAUGGGGGAAACCCUGAUGCAGCGACGCCGCGUGAGUGAAGAAGUAUUUCGGUAUGUAAAGCUCUAUCAGCAGGGAAGAAAUACUGACCAUAGGGUCAGCAGACGGUACUUGACUAAGAAGCCCCGGCUAACUACGUGCCAGCAGCCGCGGUAAUACGUAGGGGGCAGGCGUUAUCCGGAUUUACUGGGUGUAAAGGGAGCGUAGACGGUAUGGCAAGUCUGAAGUGAAAGCCCAGGGCUUAACCCUGGGACUGCUUUGGAAACUGUUAGACUAGAGUGCUGGAGAGGUAAGUGGAAUUCCUAGUGUAGCGGUGAAAUGCGUAGAUAUUAGGAGGAACACCAGUGGCGAAGGCGGCUUACUGGACAGUAACUGACGUUGAGGCUCGAAAGCGUGGGGAGCAAACAGGAUUAGAUACCCGAGUAC